AUGUCAAGUGUACUGGCUAGGUAUCACCUCUACCCAACAGGCUGGCUGAUCCGUCCCUUUGCCAUCGAGCGCAAUGGGAACAAAGGCAGGUCUAACGAGGUACCAAAGCCGUCGCCGCCUUACAGCCAGGCGCUCACGCCUUGCCUACAACAGGUCUCAGAGCACGACGGACGGCUGACUUCCCUGAAGCCCUGCCUGACCAUACCCACCCAAGAGAUGCCGAGCUCCUUGAUUUCAACCUGCAAACGGCAAACAGCAGGCAAGGCGAGCAGCAGACUGGGCACACGCACAAAAAUGGCUCCCCUUAGCCCGACCCGCUCCCUUCAGCGCGUUUGCCCGGCCGAAGCGCUGGGCUCUGUGACCACAGCCCCGGGCCGGGCGCCGACAGGCCCCUCGCCUCACCGACCCCCGGGUCCCCAGGCCCGUGCACGGCUUAGGGCGGGGACCCUGCUGAGGCUCGGUGCAGGGGGGGCCUUCACCGGGGCCGGGGCGGAGGCAGGUGCCGCCCCCGCCGGCAGGUGCCCGCCCGCNNNNNNNNNNNNNNNNNNNNCGCGGCCUUCGCCGCCCAGCGCCGCCUUCAGCCGCGCCGCCGUCGCCCCCUUGUCCCGGCCGCUGGCGCCCGCCCCCGCCAUGACGGGGCACCGCGGGGCCGUUACGGCUGCGCCGGGCUCCCGGCUCUGGGGCUCCCCCUUCCCUUCCCUUCCCUGCCCUCCCCUCCCAGCGGCACCUCCCUCUCGCGAUAGCCGCGGAACCGGCGCCCUCCCGGCGCUGCCUCUCCCCUCCCCUGACACUGAGCCCUCCCCUUCCUCUGCCCGCCCCGCCGCACUGGCAGCGCGCAGGUGCGCGGGCACCGCCGGCCCGCAACACGUCCUUCCCGCAACAUGUCGCUGUCACCCCGCAACAUGUCGCCGCCCGACCCGACCGGCCCCGCCACGCGCGGGAUGCGAGUUCACAGGACCACAGAAUGUCCCGAGUUGGGAGGGACCCACAAGGAUCAUCCAGUCCGACUCCUGGCACCACACAGGUCUACCCAACAAUUCAGACCGUAUGGCUAAGAGCACAGUCCAAACGCUUCUUGAACUCCGACAGGGUUGGUGCCGUGACCACGGCCCUGGGGAGCCUGUUCCAGUGUGCAACCACCCGUUGGGUGAAGAACCUCUUCCUGAUGUCCAGCCUGAACCUCCCCUGUUGCAGCUUGACACCAUUCCCUCGGGUCCUAUCGCUGGUCACUAA
rnacentral:lncRNA from 1 species